rnacentral:lncRNA from 1 species
GCGCCUCGACUCCAUCUUCAACUACACGCAGAUGCUCAAGCAGCGCGCCGCGGCGUUCGCCGCCGGCCGCCGCCAGCAGCCGGCAGCUCAGCUUUGACUCACGUGGUUCAGAUGGCUCAAACAAUUUGAUUGAUUUCAUCAGGUCAGGAUUCAUUUGCAGGAGAAGAAUUCAGAUUUGAGUUUGCUAUUGUGUAUAUAGCCCACAUGUGUCCAUAUUGUCAAGUUUGCGCAGAUUACUUUGAUUUUACAUGAAAGUUUGUUCUUUUUUUCGGUUUUGGUAUUGUGUAUAUACAAAGGUGCUGUUUUUUUGGACAGAUAUAAAUUCUUUGAUUCGUUUAUGUAAAUUAAUCAUUUCGAGAAGAUUAAAUUGAUCAAACUUGUGUGUCAGAUUGUAAAGACAAAGUGUACAUUGGACACAAACUCCAUGCCCCAAAUGUAACCUUGAGCAUUAAUUUUCGUUGUAAAUAUUUACAAAACAAAAAAUACAGUAUAAUUACUGUAUUUUCGAAAAAUAAUACAGACUAGUUAAAUAUCUACGUGUCCGAUCAAUAUCCAAGAUAUAUGCAGUCAAAGUUGAGAGUUCAAAAGCUUGACCACGUGCCAACA